rnacentral:rRNA from 1 species
UGGGGAAUAUUGCACAAUGGGGGAAAACCCGUGAUGCAGCGACGCCGCGUGAGCGAAGAAGUAUUUCGGUAUGUAAAGCUCUAUCAGCAGGGAAGAAAUUGACGGUACCUGAGUAAGAAGCUCCGGCUAAAUACGUGCC